CAUUUUUCUAACAAAGUUUAGCAUAAUCAUUGACAACCUUAUGUUAAAGAAACUAACUUUUUGCCACACGAAACACAAAAGGCAUUUCGGAAAAGCAAUCACAUGAAGGCAGUAGAGUUGUGCACCAAACUAUAUGGGAUAACAUCGAUGUAACAAAAAAUGAAAGACUUCUAUGCAGUAAAUGAUGGACGAUGUAAGCAUAAUCAUAGCUAACUUUUCAGAAGAUGAGAACAAAGGCAUUAGAGGCAAGAGAAGCAUAUCAAGUGAAGUUAUGGAAGAAAAUCAAUUGGAUGCAGGGCAUAGUAUACCUAUGCACCAAACUAAAAGGGAUAACAUUCAUUUAACGAAAGCUGAAAGACUAUAUGUGCAGUAAAACUCGUACUCAAACGAUGGAUGAUUCUAACUUACUAAGCAUGUCUGGAAUCAGAACACUCAAUUCAAACACGACCCUCAACUCGAUUAAGUAAUCACUUGCAACCUUGUAUUCAUCACCAACUUUUCGACACACAGAAAAAGAAGGAAUUUGGGAAAAGGUUUUGCAUAUCAACUAUCAAGUGACAGAUAUGGAAGCACCGAACGAAGAAGGAUAGCAUUUGCUGUAAUGAAACCUGAAAGACUUCCUAGCAACAAUGCUUACCAAAGCAUAUUUCGGAUCAAAACACUUGAUUCACACACGAUUCUCAUCUCAAUUAGGUACACAUAGGACAAGUCUGAACAGAACGGCAGGUUAGUCGAAGUCCCAAAACAGACUGCAACUAUCACCAAAGUGCAACUUAUAGAAUUCAAGACUUUUGAGAUCAGAUAAACAAAGUGCAACAUACAACUAGCAUAUCUGAUAAGUUUUGAAAAUGACUGCAAGUUAGGUGAGUCACAAGUACAUUCAUCUGCCAUCAAACAAAGCAAAUUGCAAGUCAAGGAAUCCAAGACAUUUGAGAUCAUAAAACUUAGCAGCAACCACAUCCCCACAGCCAACAAAAGAGGCCUUUUUCUUCUUCUUUUCAAAAACCCUAAUCAACAAAAUCCACCAAAGAAAAACACACCACUUCCAUACCGCACUCAUCAAAGUCUCAAGCUUUCCCCCAAACCCAAAACAAUCAAGACUCCACAGUCCAAACCAGCUGACACUGACAAACAGAAUCUCAUCACAUAGAGCAAACAAGCCAAGCAAUUGAAAGGUGGAAGUAAAAGGGACGGAGAGAGAAAGAGAGAGAGAGAGGGAAAGAGAGAAUUAGGGAUUGUUUACCAGCUUCCUGCCCUGAAGAGUUCUGGGGAGAAUUAUCUUGUGGAAGUAAGGCCUUGACGGCAUAAUUUCUUUUUGGUGUUAUUUCGGCGACUUUAUUGGGUGGGUUGUAAUUAUAGUGAUGGAGAAGUGAAGAAAGAUAGCGAGAGGGGGAAAUGGGUCAAUCAGAUCAUGAUGAUAAGACCACCAGCCCCAAUCUGAAAGAGAAAGGCGACAGAAAGAAAGAAAAGAGAAAGAUAUUGAAAGUUUUUGUCUCAGAUCUACAGCAGCUGCUCCAUCACCAAUAACUACUCUUCUUCCUCCUCCUCUCUCACUUUACAGAGUUACAGUCAAAGAACAGUGCUUUGCUACUGCUACUGCUACUGCUUUAAAAACCUUAACAAACGUUAGCUUGACCUAAAAAAAAGUAGUUGAACGAGUUGAGUUUUGCUUUCCCUGGCCUGGUUUUUGGUUUUUCCAAGCGACUCAGUUGGCUGACUCGGAUAUCAGAAUCCCUUGCAUAAAUUUAUUGAUUAAUUGAUUGAUGUCUUCUUGUGUUAUUUUCUUCUUCUUGGUGGGGGGGGGUUGCUUUUUGUUUUUAUUUUUUAAUCAUUUUCUUGUGUUUAUCCUCGUGACUUGCACGUGCAAUCUGGUACAACAGCCGGGUCGGACUUUGGUUGGACGGUUGACUCAAAUGCUAUGACAAAAUUCUGCGGGCCUCGGAUGCUACUUCAAGUCCGGGUACACUCUCUAUUUACACUGAUUCUGUCGAAUUAACAGGUUGCUCAACUCUUUGAAUGUUGCCUCCUUCUCACUGUCAUUCUACAAAAGCUGAAAGCCUAUAUGCACAGUAAAACCGGUACUCAAACGAUGGAUGAUUCUAACUUACUAAGCAUGUCUGGAAUCAGAACACUCAAUUCAAACACGACCCUCAACUCGAUUAAGUAAUCACUUGCAACCUUGUAUUCAUCACCAACUUUUCGACACACAGAAAAAGAAGGAAUUUGGGAAAAGGUUUUGCAUAUCAACUAUCACCAAAGGCAUAAGAGGAAGAGAAGCAUUUCAAGUGAAGUUAUGGAAGAAAAGCAAUCGGAUGCAGGGCAAAGUAUACCUAUGCACCAAACUAAAAGAGAUAACAUUCAUUUAACGAAAGCUGAAAGACUAUAUGCACAGUAAAACCGGUACUCAAACGAUGGAUGAUUCUAACUUACUAAGCAUGUCUGGAAUCAGAACACUCAAUUCAAACACGACCCUCAACUCGAUUAAGUAAUCACUUGCAACCUUGUAUUCAUCACCAACUUUUCGACACACAGAAAAAGAAGGAAUUUGGGAAAAGGUUUUGCAUAUCAACUAUCACCAAAGGCAUAAGAGGAAGAGAAGCAUUUCAAGUGAAGUUAUGGAAGAAAAGCAAUCGGAUGCAGGGCAAAGUAUACCUAUGCACCAAACUAAAAGAGAUAACAUUCAUUUAACGAAAGCUGAAAGACUAUAUGCACAGUAAAACCGGUACUCAAACGAUGGAUGAUUCUAACUUACUAAGCAUGUCUGGAAUCAGAACACUCAAUUCAAACACGACCCUCAACUCGAUUAAGUAAUCACUUGCAACCUUGUAUUCAUCACCAACUUUUCGACACACAGAAAAAGAAGGAAUUUGGGAAAAGGUUUUGCAUAUCAACUAUCAAGUGACAGAUAUGGAAGCACCGAACGAAGAAGGAUAGCAUUUGCUGUAAUGAAACCUGAAAGACUUCCUAGCAACAAUGCUUACCAAAGCAUAUUUCGGAUCAAAACACUUGAUUCACACACGAUUCUCAUCUCAAUUAGGUACACAUAGGACAAGUCUGAACAGAACGGCAGGUUAGUCGAAGUCCCAAAACAGACUGCAACUAUCACCAAAGUGCAACUUAUAGAAUUCAAGACUUUUGAGAUCAGAUAAACAAAGUGCAACAUACAACUAGCAUAUCUGAUAAGUUUUGAAAAUGACUGCAAGUUAGGUGAGUCACAAGUACAUUCAUCUGCCAUCAAACAAAGCAAAUUGCAAGUCAAGGAAUCCAAGACAUUUGAGAUCAUAAAACUUAGCAGCAACCACAUCCCCACAGCCAACAAAAGAGGCCUUUUUCUUCUUCUUUUCAAAAACCCUAAUCAACAAAAUCCACCAAAGAAAAACACACCACUUCCAUACCGCACUCAUCAAAGUCUCAAGCUUUCCCCCAAACCCAAAACAAUCAAGACUCCACAGUCCAAACCAGCUGACACUGACAAACAGAAUCUCAUCACAUAGAGCAAACAAGCCAAGCAAUUGAAAGGUGGAAGUAAAAGGGACGGAGAGAGAAAGAGAGAGAGAGAGGGAAAGAGAGAAUUAGGGAUUGUUUACCAGCUUCCUGCCCUGAAGAGUUCUGGGGAGAAUUAUCUUGUGGAAGUAAGGCCUUGACGGCAUAAUUUCUUUUUGGUGUUAUUUCGGCGACUUUAUUGGGUGGGUUGUAAUUAUAGUGAUGGAGAAGUGAAGAAAGAUAGCGAGAGGGGGAAAUGGGUCAAUCAGAUCAUGAUGAUAAGACCACCAGCCCCAAUCUGAAAGAGAAAGGCGACAGAAAGAAAGAAAAGAGAAAGAUAUUGAAAGUUUUUGUCUCAGAUCUACAGCAGCUGCUCCAUCACCAAUAACUACUCUUCUUCCUCCUCCUCUCUCACUUUACAGAGUUACAGUCAAAGAACAGUGCUUUGCUACUGCUACUGCUACUGCUUUAAAAACCUUAACAAACGUUAGCUUGACCUAAAAAAAAGUAGUUGAACGAGUUGAGUUUUGCUUUCCCUGGCCUGGUUUUUGGUUUUUCCAAGCGACUCAGUU
rnacentral:lncRNA from 1 species